CCUACGGGUGGCUGCAGUGGGGAAUAUUGCACAAUGGGGGAAACCCUGAUGCAGCGACGCCGCGUGAGUGAAGAAGUAUUUCGGUAUGUAAAGCUCUAUCAGCAGGGAAGAAAAUUACGGUACCUGACUAAGAAUCCCCGGCUAACUACGUUCCAGCACCCGCGGUAAUACGUAGGGGGCAAGCGUUAUCCGGAUUUACUGGGUGUAAAGGGAGCGUAGACGGCCAGACAAGUCAGAAGUGAAAGCCCAGGGCUCAACCCUGAGACUGCUUUUGAAACUGGCGGGCUGGAGUGCAGGAGAGGUAAGCGGAAUUCCUGGUGUAGCGGUGAAAUGCUUAGAUAUUAGGAGGAACACCAGUGGCGAAGGCAGCUUACUGAACUGUCACUGACGUUGAGGCUCGAAAGCGUGGGGAGCAAACAGGAUUAGAUACCCUGGUAGUC
rnacentral:rRNA from 1 species